rfam:Myotis davidii contig317209, whole genome shotgun sequence.
GAUGGUUCUCGGGUUAUGCAACCUGGAAUCUGGCUCCCUGCUCUCUGGUUCUGGGUGUAUCACUUGAGAAACACA